CCUACGGGUGGCAGCAGUGGGGAAUAUUGCGCAAUGGGCGAAAGCCUGACGCAGCGACGCCGCGUGAGGGAUGAAGGUCUUCUGAUCGUAAACCUCUGUCAGCAGGGAAGAACGGUCACUGUGCUAAUCAGCAGUGAAUUGACGGUACCUGCAAAGGACGCACCAGCUAACUCCGUGCCAGCAGCCGCGGUAAUACGGAGGGUGCGAGCGUUAAUCGGAAUUACUGGGCGUAAAGCGCUCGUAGGCGGUAUGUCAAGUCAAGGGUGAAAUCCCCGCGCUCAACGUGGGAACUGCCUUUGAAACUGGCGAACUGGAGUGUGGGAGAGGAAAGUGGAAUGCCAGGUGUAGGAGUGAAAUGCGUAGAUAUCUGGAAGAACAGCAGUGGCGAAGGCGACUAUCUGGCACAUAACUGACGCUGAGGAGCGAAAGCGUGGGUAGCAAACAGGAUUAGAUACCCGGGUAGUC
rnacentral:rRNA from 1 species